rnacentral:rRNA from 1 species
AUGUCCUUCUUCCAGGCUCAUACUUUUGAUUUCAGACUGUCCAUCGUUAUGCACCCAAUUUAUUCAGAGAGAUGGUCAGUGAUGCUUGCCAUGCUAUGCUACUACAGGUUAGGCAAGGCAAACUGUGAUGAAACACACUCACAUAGAUCACACCUAAUUGGCACCUCGGUGAUCUCAGGGUCCAAGUUCGGUAAGUAUUCAGUUCAGAAAGAUUUGGUAUACAUAAAUUUUGCACGAGUUAGUUGUGGAUGGAUCAUUUGUCUAUCAGAUUUGGAAUUGAUACUUUGCUCAUGUAUAUAUGUGAAUGAACCUUCUCUGUAUCACUUAAUCUAG